AGCCUGACCUGCUGUUGUGUUGUUGCUAAGCUGUUAGAAGAAAAAGGACAGAGGUUUAGACUUUAAUCUUGUAUCUUCUUGUCAGGAAGUCACUUCUGCUAAAAAUCAAGAAGAAUUGUUACCACAACAAAAUGGCAGACUAGCAUCUGAGUUGCGCAUAUAUAAAAGCCUAUCUCACAAUGUGAUUCUGGAUGGCUUACAACAUUAAAAGAAAACAGAAGACCUUAAAGCAGAUGUGUAAAAUGGAAUACAAGAAGAGGGGAAAGGCAUGCAGUUUCAUUUUCUUUCAGCUCUCUAGCCCCAUUAGACAUGUAAAAAUAAUCUAUACCUUCCAUUGAUGAAUCAGAUAUAUUAAGAAAGAUGCAGUUCCUGUGGUUGAGUCAGAAUCUCAUUGGGCAAGUAAACAGAGCCCAUGGGGAAGAAAGGGCAACCCAGAACAUCACAUCAGCAUCUUUUUUCUCAACAUGGUGAUCUAGCUUGAUAGGCAUUUCCCACUGGAAGACUUUUCAAAGCUGCAUGCUUUUUUUAAAAAAAACUUGUUUGACUGAGGAGCACAUGAAUCUUGAAAGGGUGCUAUGACAUCUUUCAUCAAAAAACUGACAUGCUGGGUGUGAUUUAUUUCAGUGUAGUAUAUUUACUUAUGAAGAGGCAAAUGGAGGAGGGCAUCCCACAUAUCUACUUAUCAGCUUUAUUUAUAAUAUCAUUUGCCUUUUGCAUAUAACUGCCUACCAGUUAUAUCAGGGGUCUUCAAAUUUGGCCCUUUUAUGACUUGUGGACUUCAACUCCCAGAAUUCCUCAGCCAGGCACGCUGGUUGGUCCACAAGUCAUAAAAGGGCCAGGUUUGAAGACCCCUGAGUUAUAUUCUCUACAAAUAUCUGCAAAGUCUAUGUAAGGAGCAGCACUGUGAGGUAUUUUGGAAAUAAAAUUGAUUCUGGAGGUUAUCAUUUUGCACUAUACCAUGCAAUCCCCUCCCCCUUUUUUCAGGAAAAAACAACAACAACCGGGCACUAGGAAAUGCUGGUCUCCAUAGGCUCCAUGUUAAGGAUCCCAGGGUAAAAUAAUUCCAUGAGAGUGUUAAGAUGAAGAAGAUCUGGUAGUUCCAUGUCUGUUUUAUCAUAAUUAGUCUUUCUCUUGGUCUGAUGGAAGCUAUGCUAAAGAACGUUCUGUCUAGUAGACAUUCACUGACAUGCAAAAGCUUUCAACUUUUCUCUGUCUGGCUUGUAGAAUGUUCUUUUUAUGGCCCCUUUUCAGCCUCUUUGUAUAAGAUCAUUUUCCCUUUUUUUCUCUGGAGGUUUUAAUAAGUGUGUGUGUGUGUGUGUGUGUGUGUGUGUGUAAUUCUGGAAGUCUACAAGUCUUAAAAUUCCCAACGUUGGAUAUACCUGAUAUAUAUUGUUUCUCUAUUUUUUUAUACCCAUUAAGUGUUCUCCUCCAUGUACUUAUUCAUUGCAUGCACAGUGCCAUUUUUCUUCCCAGAGCUAAAAGGGGCAUAUAUUACUCUCAUCUCCCACCCUGUCUUGUCUAUCUACCCACACCUUUGCAAGGAAGGUACAUUGGUGGCUGGCUUAUGAGAUCAUUUCAUGGCUGUGUGGGGCCUUGAAUUAGUUCUAGUUGUAUUACUAGUCUAGAACCAAGUAUUAAUGUACUUCUCUAACCACUGGUGUUCUUCCUUGUUCUUUUUUCCAAAGGUCCACAAAGGUAUCAUGAUCUUAAAGAAAACUAACAUCAAAACAUGGUUCCACUAGAAAAAUAGGGCCAAAAAUGUGGUAUUGACACAACAGAGGGAAUGAACCAUAGUUUCCCACCACAGUAGCAUCAUGAUCUUUUCCUUUUGUUAAUGCCAGUAAAUUAAAAUACAUUUCCAAAGAGUCAACAAAGAGUCACAACAGAAUCAACUAACUUUACCUAGUCACCAAAGAGGCACUCAAGAAGUUAUAUAUUUCUGUUGCUUGAUUGAGACUAUACCAAAUGAAGAAUAUCCUCAAAAAUCAGGUCAAAUAACCUAGUUGUUGAGCUGCAAUAUUAAGGGUUCCUGAUAGCUAAGUCUGAAUUAUUCCCAUAUCUCUUUGCAAAUCAGGCCUAGGUCUAGCGUACAUUUGACCAGCCAGAUUAUAAAAAAAAGGUCAGUAUCCAAAUAGGUCUUUUUAUUGUGUUCAGUCAUUUAAGUGCGUUUAUUUGCAUUUAAGUGCAGAUAAAAAUCUGAUUAUUGUUACAUUAUUGCUACUGGCAUUACAAAUCAGUCUCUUGCCCUGUGGCAGAGAUCUUUUCUGCUAUAUCUUACAUAAGAUUUUGGCAAAUAAAAGUUCAGCUGAUAAUGCUAAAAAUGGCAUCUCAUCUCUGAAAAAUGGCCAUCAGGUUACCUAACUGAAUAUGCACUUGUAAUUACAAGAUUACACUUGUAAAACCUAAUUGUAUACAAUUAGAAAUAUGCAAACAUUCCUGUUCUUCUCCAGCUUGCCUCUUGUAAAAUCACCAACAAUUAUGGAUUAAGUUAAUUCCCAAUAGGCAACUACUUUAAUGGUUCUUGGAGGAUGCCUUA